UUGCCUGCCUCAGCCUCACAUUCACAUAGCAGUUGACCAGAGAGGAACACACAGAGCGGUCGGUUAGUAGGCAGUCAGUCACUGAGGCAGUAGAUUAAAGACCCGCUGAAUGCAAAACAAGGCUGACAAGAAGAGAAAUACACCUCCUGUUUACUUCGUCUUUUUUUAAAGUGUUUUUUUAGUCCUGAAAGAGGAGGUGAUUUUGUGAGUUUGACAGGGAGCUCGAGAGCAAGAGAUAAGAGGAAGAAAGAAAGCUGAGAAGACCUCUCUCUCUUUACUCGAUAACCAUGCUGCUCCUGGACGAAUCUGAGUCAUUUGCAGACCAGUCCCACAGCGUCCCCUUCAGCUCCGAGAAUGAGGCUCAGGGAGGUGAAUCGGCCGCAUGGCAGUGUAACCCUCCCCCAUCUACCUCACCGUCAGGGGGGACGCUGGCCCGCCCUCCUCCCUCCCAGCCCACAUCCAGACCCUGCUCGAGGCCGGCCAGCCAAAGCCCCUCCCCUCCCUCCGCCCUGACAGGAACCAAGAAGAGAAACUCCAAACCGGCACACAUGAGACGCAACAUCAGGUACUGAACUCAGCGUCCUCGCUUCAACUUGAAAGAUCGCCUCAGUCGAAUAGUGCAAAUGGACGGACGCUUGUUUAUCCUGUAGGGAUGCUUAAGAAACUGCACACAUAAACUGCAACAAUUAACUCGCCACCUUUCUUUUUAAAGCUUUAGAUGAAGAGUAAUAUUAUAGUAAAUUAAUUUGGUGACGUACGUGUGUUACGUCAACCCGUUCUCACUCCCGCUUGGUCAGUGGCUCUCAGCGUCACAUACUGAUGCAAAGUCUGACACAUGGGGCUGCUGUGAUUGGUUGAAGUCGCAGGAAACUCCGGUUAUUGGUCAAAUUUGCUGUAAAGUUGCUGUGAUUGGUCAAAAUUGCGAGUCGCACCGAAUUCACGGUGAUUGGUUGAAUUUGCGUGAAUUGUUGCAAUCGCGACAUCGCAAAUUCUUGGAGGGACUGAAAAUGAAAACAAACCAGACUACAAGACUGAGUUUCUUUCAGCCAUUCUUUAAACUAGAUUUUAGAAAAUGACUCAAUGCUUGACAAGCACCAG
rnacentral:lncRNA from 1 species